UUCUUAUCAAGAGCAGGUGGAGGGACGAGCCCGAUGAUACCCGGCAACCGAUCCUUAAAGGACACGGUGCUAAUUCUUGCAGCAAGCAGCUGAAAGAUAAGAA
rnacentral:ncRNA from 2 species